AGCCGACUGGUCUUUUGGNGAACCUAAACCGUUCGCANAAUAGGUUNGUGGGNANGACCAGUGUCCAANCCUCCAUGNNNUUUUGCNUAAUGNNAACGGUACGCGGUAAUACUGGCAGAACGAGUGGUGCCCACGAAUAUUGGGUCUAAAGAGACCGUAGCUGGUCUGUUAAGUCCACUGUGAAAUCUUGGGGCUCAACCUCAAGGCGUGCAGUGGAUACUGGCAGACUUGAGAGCGGGGGAGGUCAGGGGUACUUACGGGGUAUGAGUAAAAUCAGUUGAUCCUGUAAGGACCACCAGUGGCGAAGGCGCCUGACCAAAACGCGUCUGACAGUGAGGGUCGAAGGCUAGGAGAACGAAUCGGAUUAGAUACCCGAGUAGCCCUAGCAGUAAAUUAUGCAGACUGUGGUGUUGCCAUGGCUUCGGGCCAUGGCAGUGCUGUAGCGUAGGUGUUAAGUCUGCCACCUGGGGAGUACGGCCGCAAGGUUGAAACUUAAAGGAAUUGGCGGGGGGAGCACA
rnacentral:rRNA from 1 species